UGGGGAAUAUUGCACAAUGGGCGCAAGCCUGAUGCAGCCAUGCCGCGUGUGUGAAGAAGGCCUUCGGGUUGUAAAGCACUUUCAGCGGGGAGGAAGGCGUUAAGGUUAAUAACCUUGGCGAUUGACGUUACCCGCAGAAGAAGCACCGGCUAACUCCGUGCCAGCAGCCGCGGUAAUACGGAGGGUGCAAGCGUUAAUCGGAAUUACUGGGCGUAAAGCGCACGCAGGCGGUCUGUCAAGUCGGAUGUGAAAUCCCCGGGCUCAACCUGGGAACUGCAUCUGAUACUGGCAAGCUUGAGUCUCGUAGAGGGGGGUAGAAUUCCAGGUGUAGCGGUGAAAUGCGUAGAGAUCUGGAGGAAUACCUGUAGCGAAGGCGGCCCCCAGGACGAAGACUGACGCUCAGGUGCGAAAGCGUGGGGAGCAAACAGG
rnacentral:rRNA from 1 species